UCCUUGGUAGUCUAGUGGUUAGGAUUCAGUGCUUUCACCGCUGUGGCCCAGGGUUAUAUCCUUGGUCUGGGAA
rnacentral:tRNA from 1 species